rnacentral:misc_RNA from 1 species
AAGUCGUAACAAGGUUUCCGUAGGUGAACCUGCGGAAGGAUCAUUAUUGAAAUAAACUUGAUGGGUUGUUGCUGGUUCUCUAGGGAGCAUGUGCACACCUUGUCAUCUUUAUAUCUCCACCUGUGCAUUUUUUGUAGACCUUUCAGGUCUAUGUUGCUUCAUUUACCCCAAUGUAUGUUAAUAGAAUGUUGUGCCUAUAUAAUAUAUACAACUUUCAGCAACGGAUCUCUUGCCACUGGCUCUC